rnacentral:rRNA from 1 species
GACGAACGCUGGCGGCGUGCUUAACACAUGCAAGUCGAACGGAAAGGCCCUGCUUUUGUGGGGUGCUCGAGUGGCGAACGGGUGAGUAACACGUGAGUAACCUGCCCUUGACUUUGGGAUAACUUCAGGAAACUGGGGCUAAUACCGGAUAGGAGCUCCUGCUGCAUGGUGGGGGUUGGAAAGUUUCGGCGGUUGGGGAUGGACUCGCGGCUUAUCAGCUUGUUGGUGGGGUAGUGGCUUACCAAGGCUUUGACGGGUAGCCGGCCUGAGAGGGUGACCGGCCACAUUGGGAAUGAGGUACGGCCCAGAAUACUACGGGGGGCAGCAGUGGGGAAUAUUGCACAAUGGGCGGAAGCCUGAUGCAGCAACGCCGCGGGCGGGAUGACGGCCUUCGGGUUGUAAACCGCUUUCGCCUGUGACGAAGCGUGAGUGACGGUAAUGGGUAAAGAAGCACCGGCUAACUACGUG